UGCGGAGGAAAAGAAACCAACAGGGAUUGCCCCAGUAACGGCGAGUGAAGCGGCAACAGCUCAAAUUUGAAAUCUGGCCCCUAGGGCCCGAGUUGUAAUUUGCAGAGGAUGCUUUUGGCGAGGUGCCUUCCGAGUUCCCUGGAACGGGACGCCAUAGAGGGUGAGAGCCCCGUCUGGUUGGAUACCGAGCCUCUGUAAAGCUCCUUCGACGAGUCGAGUAGUUUGGGAAUGCUGCUCUAAAUGGGAGGUAUAUGUCUUCUAAAGCUAAAUAUUGGCCAGAGACCGAUAGCGCACAAGUAGAGUGAUCGAAAGAUGAAAAGCACUUUGAAAAGAGGGUUAAAAAGUACGUGAAAUUGUUGAAAGGGAAGCGCUCAUGACCAGACUUGGGCCCGGUGAAUCACCCAGCGUUCUCGCUGGGGCACUUUGCCGGGCUCAGGCCAGCAUCAGUUCGCGCCGGGGGACAAAGACUUCGGGAAUGUGGCUCCUCCGGGAGUGUUAUAGCCCGUUGUGCAAUACCCUGGGGCGGACUGAGGUUCGCGCAUCUGCAAGGAUGCUGGCGUAAUGGUCAUCAGCGACCCGUCUUGAAACACGGACCAAGGAGUCGUCUUCGUAUGCGAGUGUUCGGGUGCAAAGCCCCUACGCGUAAUGAAAGUGAACGCAGGUGAGAGCUUCGGCGCAUCAUCGACCGAUCCUGAUGUUCUCGGAUGGAUUUGAGUAAGAGCAUACGGGGCCGGACCCGAAAGAAGGUGAACUAUGCUUGAAUAGGGUGAAGCCAGGGGAAACCCUGGUGGAGGCUCGCAGCGGUUCUGACGUGCAAAUCGAUCGUCAAAUUUGAGCAUGGGGGCGAAAGACUAAUCGAACCUUCUAGUAGCUGGUU
rnacentral:rRNA from 1 species